AUAUUCAAUUUUGUUUAUCCUUCUUUGUGUGAUGCGAAAGAAACAAUUAUUAACAUUUAAAAAAAAAAUCAUCAUUAACUAAUCUACGUUGUGAAAGAUGAGAAAAAAAGAGGGUGCAUUAUAACAUAUUUUGGAAUGCAAGUAAUGUUGAUGUUUAAUAUUCAGAAGCAUGCUUGUGAUUUCCAGAACACCUGCUUCUGCCACAUCUCCCGUCCCAGGCGAGAUCUUCAUGCCCUUGCGCCUUCUCUUUGUAACUUUUAAUUUCGUCUCGAAAAAAAUUUACAUUUAUAUUUAGCAUUGGGUUGGUAACUGGUUUGUCAUUGCCCACAAUUCAUGUCCAAUAAAAGCCAUUUCUCAAUGGUGGUGGAUCCACAAGAUUUCCUGAUUGGUUAGGAAGAAAUUUUAGGUCUUCGCGGUCUUUGCGUUCGUUUCCCUCUGUUCUUCUCCGAUUUUGGCCGGAUCUGUUUUGGUUUUCUUUUUCGUUUGACGGCCGUAAAAACAAACUCUGAACCAAGUAAUUUGCCAAUCAGGACCUGAGCUUGGAGGUAAUUUCACUUUUUGCACAAUCGUCCGCGUGCGCCUGCUGCUUCGGCGACUCGAGCUUCGCAGUUCGCUUUUCUGAACGAAAUCAGAUUUUUGGUAUGGCAGAGAAGGAGAUGAAAUAUAGGGUUGAGUGGUUCAACAAGUAAGUUUUCUGCACGGCAUCUUUAAUCUGUUGUAUGCUUAUGUUUACUCUUCGUUUUAAUUAUUCACUUAUACAUCAUCUACAUGGUUAAAAGUUAUAAUACUAUACACACUGCAAUUUAUAAUUGCACCACAGAGUACCACUGUAAUUAUGGAUGUUGUUAAGUUCAUGAAAUGAUUAAUGGAUUUUGUAAAAAAAAAAUUUAUAUGUUUCCCACAGACAGAGGAUGUGCAAGAAGCAAGGAAAAUAAAUUUGUAUGCAUUGUUUGUUAAUUUGAUUAUGCUAAAUAUUAAUUUUAUUGUAAUUGUUUGCAUUUAUUUUUGGUUUCUCGAAUUCUUAUGUUUGGUGGUUAUUUCGUGUUUCGGCUAAAGCAUUUGGUUAUGACUGGUUUGUUACUUUGAUCACUGGAAGAUUUGAACGCCCUCCCCUCACUCUCUCGAACAUAUAUUGGUCCUUCUUUCAUGGUAGUCAGUUUUUAGGACUUGACUUUUUGACCAUAUCCUUAUAUAUCAUCAUCCAUAAAAUCUGUCCAAUCUGUAGGAUUGGACAUAUAUUGGUCCUUCUUCACCGACUCUCCUUUGCCCUGACAACUACUUGACUAAUACUAUUGUUGUACCAAAAAAGUUUCAUGUGGUCAGAUGUAUGAGUCCGGUACAUAAGAAAGCUUUCGUAUUAUACAUACUGAUGUGAAAGUUUGUCUAUA